GUGUGCUCUUCUGAUGCCAAGCAUUUUGGCAUCGGAGAGGACAUCCAGCCCAAAAGGGACCUCACCCACUUUGUCAAAUGGCCCC